rnacentral:rRNA from 1 species
CAAUAGCGUAUAUUAAAGUUGUUGCAGUUAAAAAGCUCGUAGUUGGAUUUCUGGUUGGAGCGACCGGUCGGGCAUUGAUUUGUCUGCACUGGAGUCGGUUCCGUCCAUCCUCCUGGAAAAUGCGUAUGGCAUUAAGUUGUCGUGCGUAUGAUCCAGGUCUUUUACUGUGAAAAAAUUAGAGUGUUUAAAGCAGGCCUUCGCCUUGAAUACAUUAGCAUGGAAUAAUAAGAUAGGACUUGGGUCUAUUUUGUUGGUUUGCAGACCGAAGUAAUGAUUAAUAGGGAUAGUUGGGGGUAUUUAUAUUCCGAUGUCAGAGGUGAAAUUCUUAGAUUUUCGGAAGAUAAACUUAUGCGAAAGCAUUUACCAAGGAUGUUUUCAUUAA